rnacentral:hammerhead_ribozyme from 1 species
UGACGAGUGCCAAAUAGGACGAAAUGCGCAUCCUGGAU